UUUCUUUCUUUCUUUCUUUCUUUCUUUCUUUCUUUCUUGAGGCAGUUGCUAAGGUUCAAGGUGAAGGGAUCAUGGACUUCAUCACUCAACAUGAGAAAUAGGUUACAACCACCUGUCCUCAGCCUCCCAAGUAGCUGGGACUACAAGCAUGUGCCACCAUGCCUGGCUAAUUUUUUAAAUUUUUUGGAGAGACUGGGUCUCACUAUGUUGCCCAGGCUGGUCUUGAAUUCCUGGGCUCAAGUGAUCCACCCGCCUUGGCCUCCCAAAGUGCUGGGAUUGCAGAUGUGAGCCACCGGGCCCGGCUGGUGACACUGGUAUUUUUGAAAAGGUACUCAGUGAUUUCAAUGUGUAGCUAGAGCUGAGAAUCACUCCUUCAGACUAAUAAAGAAGGUCAAUGGCUAUUAAUGCAACUUCCCUAAAGAAUUAAGUUAAAGUCUAUGUGUAAGUUUGUCUCUUGUCAACAUAGAGUCUAGUUUACUUCUAAUUUUGAUUAUAAAAUAGGAAAGUACUUUCCUAUACUAUAAAAAAGUUUGCUUUAAAAGUCCCAGGACUGAUUUAUUAUGACCUUGAGAUUUAAAAACAUUUAUUAUUGGAAACCAUGUUUGUUUGAAUGUUUAUUGUAGAAAAGUCCGUUUUUCCUUUUAAGGUCAUAGACUAAAUUUGUUACAGGAGGUUGAUUUUGUGUUCUAAGCCUGUGAUCAUUAACUGUUUUCCAGCUCUACCAGGUAGGGUAUUGAACCUUUUCUUAUUUGAUAUUCAAAUAAAUUCUCCUUUACCAAAAUGUUAUUUUGCAAAUAACUAAGUGACUCUAAUGGAUUAACUUUAAAAUGCAAUGCCAAAUUUUGAUUUUCCAUGAAUGAAUAAUUUGAAAGAAAUUUCUCUGUUCACUACAUAUACGCCAGAAAGAAUAUCAAGCUUGGCUUUUGAUACAUUUUAAAUUCCUGGUUCAAGUUUCUUAUGCGGCCAAACUGUUCUCAGUGACCUGGGCUUCUGUAAAAUGUCCCUGAUUCCUUUCAUAAAAUGCUUAGUUUGGCUUAUGCUGCUCGAGUGAGUUUCUGUUACCAUCUUUGAUAAAGACAAUCAUUAAUCCUGACAGCAGCCUUGCAAAGUGAGUCUUAUUAUUCCCAUUUCACAGAUGGAUAGUCUGAGCUCUUGGGUACUGGGAAACUUGCUCAAGUCCAUACAAUUAGGCACUGGUAGUCCCUAGACAACAACCCAGAUCAGAUCUACUUGACCCCAAAGCUGAUGAGUUUCCACCCUCACAGAAGGUCCUAAUAUGGCACAUUGCUUUUUUUUUACAUUGGGAUAUAAUUCAUGUCUUAUAAAACUCACCAUUUAAAAGUGUAUAAUUUAGUGGGUUUAGUGUAUUCUCAAGAUUUUUCAACUAUCACCACUGUCUAAUUCUAGGAUGUUUUCAUCACCCCCCAACCCCAGACCUUCUACCAUUCAGCAGCCACUCUUUCACUCCUGUCCCCCAGCCUCUGGCAACCACUAAUUUACUUUCUGUCUCUAUGGAUUUGCCCAUUCUGGGUAUUUGAUAUACAUGGAGUCAUACAAUAUGUGGCCUUUUGUGUCUUGGUUCUUUCACAAAACACAGUGUUUUCUAAUUUCUAAUUUCUACAUCUCUGUUGUAGAAUAUAUCAGUACUUCAUUUCUUUUUAUGGCUAAAUAACAUUCCAUUGUAUGGAUAGACCCCAUUUUGUUUAUUUAUCUGUUUACAGACAUUUUGAUUAUUUCCACCAUUUGGCUACUAUAAGAUACAUUUUUAAAAUAACAUUGUUAUAGAAGUCUCAUUUUCCAAAUUAAACAGAAGGGCAGGUCCUGUUUCACACACUUUUUUUUUGUAUUAAAAAUAUAUGAGGGCUCUUCCAGUUGCUAUUACUGGGUAGCAAAUCACACCAAUUUUUAGUGUGAUAAGCCACAAUUUUAUUACACUCACAGAUCCUGUAGGUCAAGAAUCAGACCAGAGAGAGUGGCUUGCUCUGCUUCAUGAUGUCUGUGGACUCAGCUGGGAAAACUCAAAAGUUGAGGGUGACUUGAUGGCUGGGGACUAAAGGCAUCUAGAGGAAUCUUCUGUCACAUGCCUGUAUUUCAUACUCACUGUUAGCUGAGACCUCAGCUAGCCAGUCAGCCAAAACGUCUGCAUGUGGCCUCCCUAGGUGGUCUCUUCAGGUGGGCUAAUUGGACUUCCUCACAACACGGUAGCUGGGGUCCAACAGUGAGUGGCUCAAGAAAACAAGGAGGAAGUGCAUAUGUUUUUUAUGCUCUAGCCCUGGAAAUCAAGUAGCGUGUUUUCUGCUGUAAUCUUAAUGAUUGAGGCAGUUUCUAAGGUUAAAAGGGGAGGGAUCACGGACUUCAUCACUCAACACGAGAAAUAAAAGGUCACAUUAUGAGAGCAUGUGGUAUGAGAGAUACCACUGUGGCCACCUUUGGAAAAAAAACCAUCUGCCACAAGGACCUUGCACUGGGCCUGUGACAGGUAUCCAGUAGAUCCUUAUUUAAUUAAAUAUAUUCAUGCUUAUCAACAAAUUACAUAUUGGCCUGCCUGCUUGUUUGUUCAUGAAUCCAUCUCCUCCUUCAGAAAUGACCCCUUCCUGGGCAUUAUUCUAAUGCUUUUAUUUCUUAACUUCUGCAUUUUCCUAGCUUAGGCAAAUCACCUUACUUCUCAGAGCCUCAGUUGUCUUACCCAUGUGGACAAACACCCUUGUUCCCACUCUACAAAAUUAGUUUGGGAAUUCAAUGGGCUAAGGUAUAAAUAGUGCUUACUUUAGAUGUUGUUUGGAGGUAAAUGUUCAAUAAAUGAUAACUAUUAUUAUUGCGGUUGUGAUUACCUGAAUGUAAUCCCCAUUCUCUUAUGCUUUUCAGCAUCCUGUCUGAGCCUUUAAGAUGAGGAACAAAUUAUAUGUGAGGAGAAAUGGCAGAAAUUGGAAUGCCUCUGCUUUUUGAUUUCCCAUUCCCUUCCAUUUCUCUUAUGAACAAAUAAAGGUAAGGAAAUCCUGUCCUGUGGAUAACUUCCCAUUGACUUGCAGAGAGCUCAGACAUGCCAUGGUAGAUAUGGAUACUGUUUUGUUUUUGUUUUUUGAGAUGGAGUCUUGCUAAGUCACCCAGGCUGGAGUGCAGUGGCACGAUCUCAGCCCACUGCAACCUCUGCCUUCCAGGUUCAAGUGAUUCUCCUGACUCAGCCUCCCGAGUAGCUAGGAUUACAAGCACCUGCCACCACACCCAGCUAAUUUUUGUAUUUUUAGUAGAGACAAGGUUUAACCAUCUUUACUAAACAGACUAGGCCCGUCUUGAACUCCUGACUUCAAGUGAUCUGCCUGCCUCAGCCUCCCAACGUGCUGGGAUUAUAGGUGUGAGACACUGCACCUUGCCAGUGGUGGAUAUUGUUGAUUUAAAAUAAUAUAAAUAAUAAAUCUCCAAUCUCAGGGAAGUUUCCAUAGUCCUAAAGUCAAAACUUCUGAUCUUGCCGUGUGCUUGAAUUAUCCUCAAUUAGAGUCCCUGCUGCUGUUGCUUGUCGCUGUAAUUAUUCUGUCGUCAUUAAUUCAAUGAAGCCUAUUAACCCACAUCAGAUAGUGUAUUUAUCUACAAUGCAUGUUACCUGCUCCUCUAGAUAAGACAGCUGUCAUACUUCAAGUCUGCUGUCUCUUUGUUGAGGUCCAAUAUUGUCAGUUUGCAAGUGUUUCAUAUACAUUACAGAAUCCCCAUUAAUGGUUGAUAUGAUUGGGCUUUGUGUCCCCACCCAAAUCUCAUCUUGAAUUACAUUCCCUAUAAUCCCCACAUGUCAAGGAAGAGACCAGGUGGAGAUAAUUAAAUCAUGGGGGCAGUUUCCCCCACGCUGUUUUCAUGACAGUGAGUUCUCACGAGAUCUGAUGGUUUUAUAAGGAACGCUUCCCUCUUUGCUCAGCAUUUCUCCUUUCUGCUGCCUUGUGAAGAGGAUGCCUUGUUUUCCCCUUCACUUUCUGCCACAAUUGUAAGUUUCCUGAGGCCUCCCCAGCCAUGCUGAACUGUAAGUCAAUUAAACCUCUUUCCUUUAUAAAUUACACAGUCUCAGGAAGUUCUUUACAGCAGUAUGAAAAUGGAGUAAUACAAUGAUGUUCUUAUAACUUCCCAAAGACUGGAAGGUUUGCUGGUCUUAUGAGAUACUGAACUGGAGACAGCAGAAAAAUGCUUCCUCCUGAUGUUGUGAGCAACCUCCUCUCUUCUUCCCUCUCUCCUCUUCUUCUCUUUCUUCUGUUUUCCCUUCUAGGAGCCAAGAGCAUAGGCUCUGGAACCAGCCUGCCUGGUUUGAAUCAUGCCUGUGCCUGGGGAUCUUGGGCUAGUUGCUUGGUUUCCCUGAGCCUGUUUUUUUCAUCUGUGAAAGAAUCACAACCCUGUUGUGAGAAUUUAAUGUGCUAAUCUGCAUAAAGCACGUAGACCCCUGUCUGGCUCAUGCUGGGAGUAGUCUCACUCUGUUGCCCAGGCUGGAAUGCAGUGGUAUAAUCUCGGUUCACAGCAACCUCUGCCUCCUGGGUUCAAGCGAUUCUCGUACCUCAGCCUCCUGAGCAGCUUGGAUUACAGCUUCAGGCUUGGGGACCAGCUUUUCUGCAUAGAAAGAAGAGGCAUUAUAUCAGACUGACCUGGCACACAUUUUAUGUCCGGAAAGGAAAAAGGGACUUUUCUCACCAGGUUCUGUUGGAGAAAAAGACCUGAGGAAAGAUUGUCCAGAAUUGAGUCAUGUGCUCAUUAGUGAUCUGUCCACUGUGGCUAUGGAGGUGGGAUCUGCUCCCAGA